UACGAAGGGGGCUAGCGUUGCUCGGAAUCACUGGGCGUAAAGGGCGCGUAGGCGGCGUUUUAAGUCGGGGGUGAAAGCCUGUGGCUCAACCACAGAAUGGCCUUCGAUACUGGGGCGCUUGAGUAUGGUAGAGGUUGGUGGAACUGCGAGUGUAGAGGUGAAAUUCGUAGAUAUUCGCAAGAACACCAGUGGCGAAGGCGGCUCACUGGCCCGAUACUGACGCUGAGGCACGAAAGCGUGGGGAGCAAACAGG
rnacentral:rRNA from 1 species